rnacentral:lncRNA from 1 species
UGUUCUCUUCUAAAACAAGAAGGAGAAAUUAAACACAUCUAAGGCAGCCCUGUAACAGAUAAUAGGAAAAAAAGAUAACACCAUUUGUUAUAGUUAGAAAUAUUUGCAGUCCAAAAAUACUGAAAAAAAGAAAAUAGGAUUUGAUUUGUAACAUUUCUAAAUCUGUGGUAAUAGCACAGUCCCCAGUGGUAAAAUUUUAUAGGAAAAUGGUACUGAGGUAUACUUAAAAUAUGUCUAUAACACAUACAUUUUGGUGAACAGUGCUAGGCUGGAGAAACCCUGAAUUCUUUCUUUGCAGUGACUUUGAGCAGAUGUUUGCUUUCAAUCUUGCUUUUGUUGUUUACCAAACUUCUUGACUUUUCACA